rnacentral:ncRNA from 1 species
GAAGUGGAUCUUGUGGCUUAAUCCGAAUCAACACGAAAAAAAAUACCAGUUCUGAAUUUAUCAAGGUAAGACAGAUUAAGAACUUUUUUUCAAACGUGAAGGUAGUGGUGCAUGGCCGUUAUUAGAUCGUGGAAUAAUUUCGUAACUUACCCCAUAAAAUUCAUUUUACUCAGGAGUUCACAUUUCUUCUAUAUUGCUAUAGCUUAUCAUGAGUUAUAUUGUCUAUUUUAUUUCUAUAUUAUACCUGUUCCACAAAUUCGGUAGCGUAGGGAAUUAUUUUACCUAACCCAAUUAAUAG